UACCAGAACUCUGAUCAGGGCGACCGAAACCCGAAUCCUAUUGCUAACUUCAUGACUGGAAUGAGAGCCCCUGAUGUGAGAUCUUCCAGGCAGAAUGUUAGCAACUCAACCUUCGGUUAGCACAUCUGCGAUGCAGAGAUCAGGUUCGUCAUUGAGAGGUGUCUGAAAAUAAAACAAGAAGCCCAUAUUAAAAUUGUAGGACAAAAUUUCUACAGUCAAAAUACUUACUGAACACCUGGUCAGUAUGGAAUGCUUAACAGGCAAAUGGGGAUGAAAGUAUAAGAUGCCCAAUGUAGAAAAUGGACUUGACAGCAUGUGUAGCUACCUUUGGUUUUGCACAUUCAGAACCUAAGGUUUUUUUGGUAUUGGUUAUUUCAAAGCAAUAAUAAUUGUGCUACAAAAAUUUGCAGUGCAUGCUGAACUGACCUCAUUUAAUAGAUGAGAAAAAUUUAUCUAAUAACAUUAAGGAACUCCAAAGAUGCUUUACAUUUACAACUGGUGAGGCUAAUGUUAUUAAUCCUCUACCUCCAUGUAUACAAAAAGCCGCAGUCCUUUAGCCAGGUGAAAAUAAUUUUAAUGUUAUUUCAACAAUGCUUGAGAAUCUUGAGAAGCUGUGUAGCGUCUCGUUACAUGAUGAACCGCGGAGUUACCAUUAUUGUGGAGAUGGUUAUAUUUGAUAAAACUCCUGGGAAAAAAAGUAUUUAGCUUUGUACAAUGGUUACCCGAAGGGAGUAAAAACAUCCAGACAUUCAUUCCUAGGCAAGAAAUGAAUUCUCUUUAUAUUAUUUUGAGAUUUAUGACUUUGUUUUCCGGUAACUUUCAGAUUUUAGAAAAUCAUUAACGCUUCACAAGCUAAUAAUAUACCUGUUUUCGCCCCCACUGCCUAAUUGAUGACGACUCGGCACUUACAGGAAAAUGCAGUACCCCAAGGAAGCCUUGUGUCGUCAUAGAUAAACUGUACAUUUUUUUUUCAAACUGGAAAGGAUCGUAUUGGACUUGUGCAGGAUGAUUAGAAUAUCAAAAGAAUUGGAACAGCGAGCAAAAGAUGGAAAAUGUGACGCUUAUUUUCAUGAAGUUAAACAAAGGCCAGAAGAGAAAAUUAGGCAUGUAAGAAGAAAUAUGAUGAAUAACUCUGAGAGGAAGGAUUUUGGCUUUUCUCUUUUGCUGCUGAUCUUUCACACGUUCCCAGUCAACUACUGAGGGUUUACGCCAAUUUAGUACGUCCUCGACAUCAAGAGGUUCAACUGAACUGGAAUGGAUAUCCAAUCAU